CCGGCGCCGGCUCUCGGUGCGGCGACGACGCCUCGCUCUGGCAGCCAGCCGCCCGCCCACCGACCCACAACAGCCGCGGCGUGGCCGCAGCCGACCUCCUCUGCCAUCCUCAGCUGGCAGAAACGACCUCACCCGGACCGAAGAGACGGACGUCACCCCAAAGCCCGUUCAGUCGCUGCGAUCCUGGGAGUUUCCCUCGUCCCGAUGGGCGGAACUGGAGGAGUUUUAAGCGCCGUCUGGUCUCGGGGGUUGGGUGGGCACCGAAAGACCCCGGACCGAUUUCCCAAACUACCCAAGAGCCGAAACAAGGGGGUGAAAACACAUAGGGUUGGAGGUGUGGCUUGCCUAGCAUGAGUGGCAGCCCGAGUUCCAUCCCCUAGGUUCCCUUCCUUGAGCCUAGACUUACUUUUCCUCCCAGUCCGUUUUUUUAUAAACCGAGAUAGUCUGGUCACCCGAAAUUUGCCUGGGUAUUUAAAAGGGUUUUUACUGUGGAAUAUUUUGAAUAUACACAAAAGUAUAGAUGAUGCUAUGGUGCACCACAACGUA